GUCUACAGCCAUAUCCCCCUGAACAUGCUUAAUCUCAUCUGAUCUCAGAAGCUAAGCAGGGUCAGGCCUGGUUAGUACAUGGAUGGGAGAAAUAAUGGUUCAUUGUUAUUC
rnacentral:rRNA from 1 species